UACGUAGGGUGCAAGCGUUGUCCGGAAUUAUUGGGCGUAAAGAGCUUGUAGGCGGUCUGUCACGUCGGCUGUGAAAACCCGGGGCUCAACUCCGGGCCUGCAGUCGAUACGGGCAGACUAGAGUUCGGCAGGGGAGACUGGAAUUCCUGGUGUAGCGGUGAAAUGCGCAGAUAUCAGGAGGAACACCAAUGGCGAAGGCAGCUCGCUGGAACGGUACUGACGCUGAGGCGCGAAAGCGUGGGGAGCGAACAGG
rnacentral:rRNA from 1 species